UUUCUACCCUCAAAUCGGUCAUUUCGGAACCGGCUUCUUCUUCAUCUAGAUAAACCACGGGGGCACCGACGAGAUCCCCUCUACCCUCAUAAUCGAUUUCGUGGUGAAUUUGAAUAUAACAACAACAACAUAAAUUUACGGUGGAAUGGGUUUCUCUAAAGAGGUGUAUCAAAAGGUUUUACGGUGACAACGUGCAAAACUUGCAGAGUAUUUGCAGAAUUGUGAACCAGAAUCAUUUCGAUAGAAUAUGCAAUCUUCUCGAGGAACCUGGUGUCGCAGCUUCCAUUGUCUACGGUGGUUCACUCGACCGAGAAAAUUUGAUGAUUGAGCCCACAUAUUUAUUGGAUCCUCCACUAGAUGCUCAGAUUAUGACUGAAGAAAUAUUCGGGCCUUUGCUACCAAUCAUCACACUCGAUAAAAUUGAAGAAAGCAUGUGGUGUUCCUCCGGGAAGAAAACUAAGAGAAACCCAUUCCCAUUCUCAGCCAAUUGCAGAUUUUCCCAGCUUCUUCUUCUGCUUCUUUUUUUUUUUUUGU